rnacentral:tRNA from 1 species
GGGGGUUUAGCUCAGUGGCAUAAGCGCCUGCCUGGCAAGCAUAAGGUUGUGAGUUUGAUCCCCAGUACCCCCC